GCGAAAGUGGCGGAAUUGGCAGACGCGCUAGAUUCAGGUUCUAGUAGGCGCAAGCCUGUGGGGGUUCAAGUCCCCCCUUUCGCA
rnacentral:tRNA from 1 species